rnacentral:rRNA from 1 species
UACGUAGGGUCCGAGCGUUGUCCGGAAUUAUUGGGCGUAAAGAGCUCGUAGGCGGUUUGUCGCGUCGGCCGUGAAAUCUCCACGCUUAACGUGGAGCGUGCGGUCGAUACGGGCAGACUUGAGUUCGGUAGGGGAGACUGGAAUUCCUGGUGUAGCGGUGAAAUGCGCAGAUAUCAGGAGGAACACCGGUGGCGAAGGCGGGUCUCUGGGCCGAUGACUGACGCUGAGGAGCGAAAGCGUGGGGAGCGAACAGG